rnacentral:rRNA from 1 species
UACGUAGGCAGCAAGCGUUGUUCGGAGUUACUGGGCGUAAAGAGUACGUAGGCGGUUUGCUAAGUCUGGUGCGAAAUCUCCUGGCUUAACUGGGAGGGCGCGCUAGAUACUGGCAGGCUUGAGUAUGGGAGAGGAGAGUGGAAUUCCUGGUGUAGCGGUGAAAUGCGUAGAUAUCAGGAGGAACGCCGGUGGUGUAGACGGCUCUCUGGACAGUUCCUGACGCUGAGGCACGAAGGUCAGGGGAGCAAACGGG